AGGUAAGCCGCUGACCUGCGAAAACGCGCGGGAAGCCGACGGCCUCCGGAGCCGUGUGCGCAGGUUCGAAUCCUGCCGGGG
rnacentral:tRNA from 1 species